rnacentral:rRNA from 1 species
UACGGAGGGUGCGAGCGUUGUCCGGAAUCACUGGGCGUAAAGGGCUCGUAGGCGGCCAACUAAGUCGGAUGUGAAAUCCCCAGGCUUAACCUGGGAACUGCAUCCGAUACUGGAUGGCUUGAAUCCGGGAGAGGGAUGCGGAAUUCCAGGUGUAGCGGUGAAAUGCGUAGAUAUCUGGAGGAACACCGGUGGCGAAGGCGGCAUCCUGGACCGGCAUUGACGCUGAGGAGCGAAAGCCAGGGGAGCAAACGGG